CCCGUGUAGGGAUCUGGCGCCGCCUGGUCGAGAAGCUGCCGGCGCUGGACCUGUGCUCCAGCCCUUGCUUGUCCGGCACCUCGUCAGAGGCGUCCGAGCCGUUGCCGAUCGGGAGUCUCGUGUCCAUACCUUCCUCUCCGCCGAUGGGAAGUCCCAGAUUCCCCGCCUCUUCCCCGCUGACCUCGGGGCCACGGCCCACGGCCGACAGCAAGCGGCACCAGCUGGACGGCGUCCCCUGGCUCAUCCGCCGCCGCCACCUCAGCCUCAACGUCCACCUCCUCCCAGUCUCCGCCCUCUCUCUCAAAUUCUCAAUUCUCACCUCUCUCUAUAUCUCAGCUUCUCCUUCAGCAAGAGAAGGAUACUGUCGCGGUUAAUUAAUCAAAUCCGUUCCGGUCCGUUUUGCAGGUGAGGUGAGACCUUUGCUUGAAGCCGCUGUUCUGUACAGUACGGAGUACUAGAUGAUUACCUUGGGAUGGGAUAGUGAAGCUUCGAUUUCACCACGAAUUGUGGUCGCCGCUAACUCUUUCACAACCUGCUCAUGUGACGGCUGAUGUUCUAUGUCUGACCAUAGCGUGCAGAUGGGCUGGGGAAGACCCUGCAACAAUCUCUCUACUGAGCUACUUGAAGAUCAAAUCCAUCGCUCCUAGACCGUCUCGGUAUUCUUCUUUCAGUGCUGCUACGCCCUCUAAGCCUGGCGGAUGGCUGGUUGUCGGCGAUAAGACGCAUCGUCUUCAAAUACCGAGAAUGGUGUAUAAAGAUGUCCAAAAAACUUCAGCUUCAUCUUAUUCAAAUUAUAAUCUGAGGAAUCUUCACAAGGAACGCAACAGUCAUGUUUCUCCAAGCCACUCAUGUGCCGCAGUUUAUGGAAGCCUGAAUCUCUUCCAAGGUCUUGCCUUUUGUCUCCGGCACGAUCUUCACAAUGAAGAGAAUAGCCACCGCGCAAACGAAGGCGAAGAAGAAGAAUGUUCCUGCAAGAUUGAUUUGCAUAUCAGACAAAUGUAUGUCCCUGUACGGAUUAUUCAAGCAACGCCGUAGGGCCGGGUCUGAUGUAGAUUUGGCAGACCUGAAGCACUCCAGCUCAUGAGGAAGUUGAAGGCGAAAGAAACUGCUAAUGAAGCCAACCAGUUCACCAGAGUCACGAAGCUUCCGCCGAUUCCUUUCAUAUUGAUGGGGAAUAUCUGCGUCCAAUCCGAUUGACCAUGUCAGGGAUUAGUAUCUAAAUUCUCAGUUCAUAUAUAUGGUGUUGUAAGAAAUCUCGAGCGAUGAAGAAAUUUGAUUGUUCUGAAGUGUGAACUCUAAACCUCUGACAUUA